rnacentral:lncRNA from 1 species
GCGGCGGCGGAGGCGGCUGUGGCGGCGGUGGCGGCGCGGUCCGGGCUCGGGCCGGGAGUUGCGGGCGGGCGGUGGGAGCGGCGGGGCCGGGCGGGCGCGCUGGAGGCUGCGGGCGGCCGUUCAGCGGGGGGUCGUAUGGAUCAGGGGGGGGCUCAUGGCUGCCGCGGCCGCCAUGUGCUGCUCUCACAGAGCCAUGGCUCGGGGAUCCGGGCUGCUGCCGCUGCGGCUCCGACUGCCGGGGGGAGGGGGAGCGGCACAGCGCAGGAAGCCAACCCGCCGCCGCCGCCGCCUGCAGCAGGGAGAGCGGAACGGGCGGGACUUGGCGGCGGCCGCCGCUGCCACUCACCGCGCGGGGCGCGCGCUCCGGAGCCGGGUGGGAAGGAGGGAGGGGGAGCGCGCCCCCAACGCCGCCGCCCGGUGUCCGCCGCCGCCCUCACGGCCCCGCGCGCUGCCCUGCCCUGCCCUGCGGCCCCGGCGCGGCGCGGCCCGCGCAGCCCGCCCGCCGCGGCUGUUGCAUAACCCAAGCAUGCGCGGGAGCGCGGGGCCGCGGGCGGAAGCGGGUGGCGGGGAAGGGGAGGGGCUGCGCGGGGGCGGAGGAUCGGGGCGGGCGGCGGGAGCCGGUGCGGUGCGGUGCGGUACGGCGCGGCGCGGCGCCCCGGUCCGCUCCGGCUGGCGCCAUCGUGGCCGGCGGACUCCGCGCCUCGGGGCGGAGCGGGCACGGAUCCGGGCGGCCGCUUGCCUCGGGCCGGGCGGGGCAGCGCUGCCGCCGCCACCUGUUGCCCGCGGCUCGGGCUGCCCGCCGUCACGGGGCCAGGCAACCGCCGGGCUCUCUGCCGGCCCCGCUGCUCUGAGCGCCGGAGCCCUGCGCAGCCGCCGCUCCCUCUGGCGGAGCCGCGCGGGCCCUCGUGGCCGCUAUUGGGCAGCGCUAAUUGCGGCCCAUCCUCGCCUCACGCGCAGCCCGGCAGUUACUGCCGCCCGCACGGCCUGCCCGGCCUCGGGGUGUGUGAGUCGAGUGCAGCUGCGUGGAAUCGUUUGCAAAAGGCACAGCGCUGUGCCUCGGCAGUUGCGUGCAUGAAGGAAUAACGCAGUGCCCGAGCAGGCUGUGCUGGGUGUCAGGAACACAUGGAGCUGUGUGUGUGUGUUGUUCCUUCACACCAAUAGUUUAUCAGUCAAAAAAAAACCCACAACAAAACGUUAUGAGACUUCAUUCAGGCUGGAUUGGCACCUAAAGUGAAUGCCCCCACCUGAGAGCAGCUAUACUGACAGGGCUGCAGAAGCAGUCAAUGAGAAAUACAUGUCUUCCUAGAAAUCCGUUUUUGUAAUGCUCUGACUGUGGUUCCCUAAGCAAAUAAUCACAUGGACUCGUUUUCCAUAGCAGUCAUCACAUUUACAAUAGCGUCUAAAGAAUAAAGCACAGAGCAUUCUAAAAAGCAUACAAAAUAUGGCAGCACUGCUAAUGUGAGGACGGAAGAUGUAGAAGAAAGGACUUAACCAUUCUAACUACCUCCAGAUUGCCCAAAACUUGGUCAAAAGAGCAAGUGCCGCCAUGCAGGAGGUGCGCAGACAGCAGCUGCUCAGACAUGCCUGCACAUAACCAGGUGUGAAGUGCAAGGUGUGAUCACAGGCAGCCCAAGGACAGCGAUGUACUCCUUCAAUACACUAUUCAGGAUCAAAUCUUUAACCAUAUCCCACUCUUUAAAACAGGCAUUCAAGAGACGCUUUUUUCCAUCUUCUGGCCAUACAGAGGAUAGCCCAUCGUCAGAUGAUUCUUAAGAAACGAGCGGUUGCUGAUUGAAGGACAAAUCGACAUCUGAGUACUUAUUUCACAGGAUGUUUAGGUUUGGUACUCUUAGGAAUAAGUCACAUAGAAAUAAAACAUUUCUUCAGUUUACUUUGGUGUUUAUUUUUUGUUUGUUCUGUAAAAAGGAAAACUCUUGUUCUGUAAAAAGGAAAACUAAUCCAAAGCACCUGAACUGUUAGCUUUGUGAUGCUUCCCAUGGAGAUAGGAGGGCACAGCGUUACUGAGUGCUGCAGGCUCACUGUGUGCAACUGGAUGCAACCCUCCCUCCUUGGGACAAAAGAGAAGAGAGGGGUAAAGCAGGAGGGGAACACAGUGCUUGAAGAAGUCGUUUGACACAAAUAGCUGUUUUUUUUUUUGGUAAGUAUUUGGCUGGACAAGAAGGCAAUGAAAAAGCAGUAUAAUUUAUGGAGAGCAAAAUUACGGCAGGAAAGCAGGUAGAAUAAGAUUUAAAAAGCAAUUAACUGAAGGCAUGAAGACAAACAAGGCAUUUUUUUCAACAACCAGCAGCAGAAUGCCUGCAGGAAUCAGUUAGAAAAUGGGGUAACGGAGGAAAAGGCACCGAGGAGCUUUUUUCUCAGCACAACACAUUGCGGUCUGCGAGUCGUGUAAGGGAAGGGUUAAUAAGAAUUAUUAUUAAAGUCAGUGACUCAUUAAACAACCUGAAUAGAAGAGAAUUAGGAGUGGCUCCCUAGAAGGAAGGAACUGAACAAUUAUUAGGAAGAGCUCCUAAUGAAUAACCAUGUCAGGGCAAGAACAUAGAGAUGAAUGUUAUCAUUUCAGUCUUUGUUUGUCUGCUAACGAAGUCGGGUCCCACCGUGAGAUGAAUGUGGAUGUAGGCAGCGGAAUGGGCUAUCCAGGGUACCCUUGAAGCUUGCAGAAUCUUCAUGUGCCUUAUGUAAAAACAACAACACUUCUGCUGGGACACUUGUGCAGGUUGACUCACCUCCAUCCCUAGGAUGUAAGUUUACUAAGAAGUGCUCACAGAGCUGCCAGGGUGCUCCUACAGACCCCACAGCCUGUACAGAACAGCAGAGCUGAGCAGGUGCCAGUGUUGUGAACAAGCACCAGAGCUGAACAAGGAGCUGAAACCUGGCACCAGUGUGAUGUGACACGUCUACCACGAUUUCCUCCUUGGUUGAAGUGCUUCAUCGUACCUCUGCUGCACCAGUAAGAGCUGUGUGCUCCAACUGCUGGCCUCCAGCUGAGAGCGCCGUGCUUCCCUUCCCAAUGGAAAAGCAACAGAAGUGGCCAUUAAUAGUACGAAUUUAUAGCUUAAGAGGUUUGCAAGUAUCUAAGUGCUGCAUGUGCUAUGAUAAUUUAUCUUUGAACUUGUUAGUAACAAUGCAUAAUUAACAAGUAAGCUGUAGGAACAUGCAAUUGCUAUGUAUUUACAUGGUAUGUGCCAGGCAUUGUGGUGUAAUUACAGAGCUGAUACCUGCUCUGUAGAAUGAGGCGCACAGUGUGCUCUAUUUCAUAUUAUUUCCCACAGCCGCCCAGUGAAGCAGAGCACAGCAUAGCAGGGUUUAAUGACACGCUUUGCUCCAGCGGAGGCAAUCCAUGAGGACAGAGCUACACAGACCUGUGCCCAGCACUGGCAUUUUGGCAUCACCGUAUGUCCUGCUCGCUUGAGUGGCAAUGCACAUGGAGCUCAAGUUACUUAUGCUUUGGAUUGCUGCCCUUUCGGUGAUAUAAAUGGAGUUGACUAUGCAGUACGGCAAUUUUUUCCUCUCAUAUAUAAUAUGACGCAUCUUUGCAAUAAUUACAGGUAAAACAGUGCACAAAAAUAAACUAUUUUCUAUGAAGUUUAAAAUAAAAACAAACAGAUGCCAGCUUGGAACAACUUAUUUACCCUAAAAUUCAUUAGGAUCAGAAUACCAAAUGUGAAGUAGCAUAACACAGGCACCAGGGGAAAAAAAACAGCUAGUGGUGAAAAGUGCAAAGAAAUCUGAUGCAUCUCCAAGCUAGUCAUCUUUUACUUGAUUCAGCAUAAACUGCAUGUAAAAAUAAAUUAAAAUAUUAUAUUUGAGAUUCACUUUUGGCAGGAAAAGGAAUGCUGUGCUUGUCAAAGUGACACAAGAAUUUCUGUGCCCAGUUUCUAAAAUGGUGUCAUCAGAACACAGAUAUGAAGUAUUACCCAUUCUGAGCAGAAAAUACAGACCGUGGUGGGCAGUAGACACAACACUACUCCGGGUAUAGAACUGACUUGAUAGAAACAUUGAUGUACCUGUUGAUGCUUAGGAAAUAAAAUUCAACCUCAGCAUACAGGGAAGCAACCUGAGAGUGGCCUAGUGGAACAAAAAGCUUCUUCCUGCAGCAGACUGAAUGGUCCAGAAUAAGUGAAGCCCAAGUCACUUAUCAGCAACAAGAGUUAACAUUUCAGUCCAUCUCAGAAGAUAUAGCUCAGGAACAUUCAUAAGGUGCACCAAGUCCUUCCUAUACUGAUGAAUUGAAGGUAAUUUCAGAAGAAGCUGAUUUGGAAGGAAAACAAUCUCCUUUUGGAAAAAUUCAUAUCUGGAAAACAUGUUAAUUGCUUUAUGACUUGCAUUCCUCAGUAUCUCUAUACAGAUUUUUUUUUAAUAAUUAUUUUUCAAGAUUUUCAUAAAGUGUACCUUUGGCAAAGGAACUGGGAAGAGAUGCCCACACAUAUCCUAGGUACAAAUGCAGGCACCAUCAAGAUUUCACGACUUGUUAAUUUCUACUUCUUCUAUGUAAAAUCAUGAAGUGCCUGGGUGACAGCUGCAGCAACUGUUUACAUUAUCUGAAAUACCAGCACAGUGUUCUCGCUGCAUACCAACAAGAACCGAGGCCCAUAUUCUACAAACGUUUUCAAAGGAAAUAUUUGAGGCAAGCUGCCAGCCUUGGGUUUGAAAUUCUCACUGCGGUUAAUGGUGGCACGCAGGGUUGGGGUUGACUUUUACCUACUUUUCAAUAUUGCAUAUGCAUUCCAGUACUUUCUUUGUAAGAGGACACAUGGUAAAUAUUCAAAUCCCUCCAAACAGUGAAUUCUUUUAAACUUUUAUCUGAAAAAGAUGCUAUUUUUCAAGCUGAGAAGGGCAGUUUCCUCCAUCUGUUCAGUGGCAGAUAAGUUCAAAACGAAGACUUUCCACCGGCUUCAGUAGGGUCUGAAUCAGACACCUCUGCCAGUGCUUUGAUAGAGUUAUUUUUCAUAAAGAUGCAACAUCAACCGGAAGAAUCCUGUAAUUAUUUCUGGGGAAUUAAUAAAUACUUCUUCAGUGGUGAAACACUGCAUACUUUCAGUCCUUAUUUGGAGCCCAACCACUCUAUAUGUCAUUGAAGGCCUUGUCUCGCACAGACAAUUAGUGAGACAAACUGGAAUGAUGUCUUCCAAAAGCUCUGGCUAGGAGCAGCUCCCAGUUGUGAAGCGUGCAGAUGAUGUUCUCUUUAGGGCUGGAAAAGCUAUCUGCUAGCUGAUGGGAAAAUUACAGGUGCUGAUGAAGUGUGAGCCUCUCAGUGAACAUGUCUGCCUAAGACUGAAAUGAUUUUCUGUAAUUCCUGCUUUCUGCACAAGUUUUCUGGGGAGGGGCUUCAAAAGUGAGAAUUUCCCCAAGGAAAAGGAAAUGUGUCUCUUUGAUAUGGCCAUGGAGCUGAGGAGCAGACACCGUGAGUUACAAGUUCAUGGAGGGUGAUGACAAAUGUUUGAACACUCCUUAGCAAAUCACUCACACAUGAUUUAUGGAGCGAAUUACUUGCAGAAGGAUUACAGCACAUGUUUUCCAAAAACAUAAAUUUGGGAAAAAUCAAUCUGCUCACAGACAAAUAACGAAAAGAGGAAGAGGAAAAUAUUCUCAAACAAAUCUGAAUCUGGAAAUCAUUCACUCAGCUCAGUUUACAGUGACCAAUUUUUAUGGUAGUAGGAGCUUGUGGAGUAGGAGGUAACUGUAAGAAGAAUGAUUGAUUCAGUGUCUUAUAUUGCAAUUCUGGAAGAGGUUCAACAUCUAAUUUAAAAGCCAUUUUCUUGCUCUUACCCAGUAAAGAAAUCAAAAUGAUAGUCAAUGACUGUGAGUUUUGGGCAGAUAGCAUCUAUUUUGUGUCCCUAAAGUCCUGUGGUCACUGACACAGGCUGGUUCAUAACAAAGAGCAGUUACUUAUUAUGAAAGGCCUCUCUUGCCUGAAAAGAAACCUGCCAGAGGAAGGAUAUUGCUGUUAUAAUCCUCUUUGCAUCUUCCCAUUAGAGGGGAAAAUAUUUGCUCUUCCAGAAGGCUCAAAAUUAGUUAUAAACUUGGUGCUUUCCUUCAGCCUGUGAGUUGGGGAGACCUGAGUAAACUGCAUCUUCUCCAGCCCAUCUUCAUUUCUUGACAGUAAUUAAGAGAGCAGUGAUUUACUUCACCCUAGGAAGGAGACAAAGCACACUUUGGGCAUCUCUCUCCCAAGGCCUAGCCACACACCUGGCACAGGUGCUUCCUGCUCCAGACAGAGGUGGCUCUGAGUGUUCUGCUUAUGCCACUGGCACGGUGGGUGUGCAGCCAACAGCAGAUCUCCUUAAGUCCUUACGCUUUCUUCCUGAUUCCAUAUUUAACUCCUAAUUUCAUUCCUGAGCAGUCAAUGCUGUCUUUCACAGAGACAGCAGAUAGGAAGUAGUCCACUUGAGCCCUACAAGCUCAAUACUGCUAAUAUGUCAACUUCAACAAUUUAUCCAUACAAGAGCUUUAACUCCAACAACAAUCUGAAUGCAGACAGAUCUCAGCCUGCCUCUGUAGAACGCUUGAUCCAGGUCAAAACCUACCACUAACCUUUGCCUUUAUCCUGCCCAGAAUCCCCCAGACCACAUGCAUUUGGGAAGCUGGGCUAGAGAGGGUAAGAAAGAUAUCCUGCUAGCUUUUUUGGCUAUUGUUUAAUUUGUUACACAUGAUUAACUCCUCUAUGUUGCUGCCUGGCAGAAUCCGUGACUAAAAAUAUCCUGUGAGUAUACGGUGCGUGCUGCAACACUGGCAGAAAGUAAAUAAGACCAUAGUCCUCAUAAUCACUGUUUUUGCUAAGAACUACUGCUCCCAGCAGACUGGCUAUUUUAGGCUGUAAACGGAAAGCUGAAAAUGAGGUUUUCUUUCCCUGCCAGUUCUUCUCCUGGGAAUUCUAUUGCUUUCUGCUCUGCCCCUACUCCAGGUGUUGAUGGCAGCACGCUGCUAACACUGGUCUCACAGGGAAUGGAUCACCAGAGCUGGUUCUGAGGUAUACCAGUGAACAUAGGAAAUAAUUUCCACUAGUAUUGUCAUAUCAUUUGAAUGGAGCACUUGAUCAAAAGUGGAUGGGGAUAGUUUGAUUUACUUCUUGAGUCAGGUGAUAGUUCACUCAGAUUCAGCUUUACGAAGUCAGAAGGGUAUCUUUAGCUGCCUGCACUUCCUGUUCUAAUACUGGUAAAUGUAUUUGCCUCUCUCUUAAUUUUGCAGAACACCUUUUAACCUCUUAUUUGAUGAUCUAAACACAAACACUCUUGAUUUGUAGUCCCAUUGAUACCAGCGAUGCCUGGCCUUGUCUCCAUGAUAUAGCACCUAGAUCACACAUAUCAUAUAGAUCUAAUGAAAGAACUUUGCACGGUGUGCAAGUCUGAGAAGUGCUAAUUAUUAUUCUUAGACUCCAUGCAUUAUGUAUUUUCUGCUGGAAAAAGCUUUGCGUUUUUAGGAAUUCAAAAGAUUAGGCUUUGCUACAGCAACAUGCAAGUCUAAGAACUUGAGAACAAGUCAUAAUCUUUAGCAUUAGCUGUACCUUUCUGAUGGCUCAAAUGUUGUUUAGAAGGAUUUUCUAGGAAGGAUUUUCCAGGAAACACCCUAGCUAUUUCAUACUGUAUGGCAAACAGGUAUACAGAUUGUAAGGUAUACAGGUAUAGGACCAGAGAGAUUACCGUGUUUACAAAAGAGUAAUGAAAUAAAGAGCUUACCCAUAUCCUGGGCUCGCAGAAGGGUUCCAAAAGGGAUGAUCUCCAGAUAGAGAUCCUUCCUCCUUGGGAGACAGCCCUUAAAUGGGGUCUAGGAGGUCACUAAGGUGAAAUUGCGUUCACCUGUGCCCCUGCAGCUGACUCUGCUCACCUCAGGUGGUCAAUCAGAGGUUCAGGCCGUGAUUCAACAGUUCCCGUACACAUGGCAUGAACACUGCUGUCGUAUCAGGCCUGUAUAGCCUUAUUUGUGGAAUGCCACUCAAGAGCAUCCUUUGAGUUGCUGAGUAUCUGCUGAGUUCUUUUAAUCAGUUGUACUACUGUGAAGUGGUCUGUGUAUAUAAAAAAAAAAAAAACUUUUAACUUCCCACACAAAUAUCAGCCAGCAGCAUUCUGACAUUCAAUAAAGUCUGCAGUUCUAAUAGUUACUGAAACUUUUCAAAGUUAUGCCUAAAUGGAGGCAAUUAUAUAUCCAUACCUGUAUUUGCAGCGUUCUUAUGGUGUCUUAUUUCUUUCAAGAUCCUAUUGACUUUUCAGUUCAUGUGGUAUGAUACAGCAAGAGAUCACUGAGCACAGGGCUGGCCCACCAGCAGGCAUUCUGCUCUGCCUGCUGCACUUAUGUGGCAUGA